ensembl:misc_RNA Y_RNA Y RNA
GGCUGGUCUGAAGGUAGUGAGUUAUCUUACUUGAUUGUUCAUAGUCAGUUACAGAUUGAAAUCCUUGUUGUAUUACUAUCCCCCCUCCUCACUACUGCACUUGACUAGUCUUAA